AGCAUUUUCCCUCACAGAACAAAAAUCUGUGCUUCCCCCCCCACCCCAAAUUUGUUCAUAGUACAAAGGCUCGAUUCUAGCAGAAAGCUCCUGCUAUUGUCCCAGAUCUUCCACGGUGCUGUUUGCUGACUGAAGGCAGCAGCCUGUUCCACUGACAUGUGUGCAAAGGAAUCUGAGCUGUCUGAGUACCUUGCUGUGAGAUUGCCCUUGCCAGCAUAUUGUUGUAGUUUCAAGAAUGUAUAGGUCUAAAAUGUAUUCAGCUUUUUUUUCCCAGGGAUUUGGAGCUCAUGUUUUUACAAACUGGAGGAGUUUUGAACUUCUCAGAUGUUUGGCAGGGAGGCUGUACCCUCUUGGAGAGCAGCAGGCUGGAAUUGUCUUUGGAACAGUUAAUUAUGGUGCACAUGCUUGAGGGACAGCCUCCUUGCCAGAAUGGGCAAAUUGGUCAAAUCUCUUCCUGCAAAUGUUUUUUGUUUUCUCCAAUUUCAAAUUAGUGCUAGAGUGUAAGAAAAUAAACUGUAGUAAGCAAUAAAAUCAACACAAUUAAGUCUGAUAGAUAAAUUGAAUUUUGUUGUUAAACACUAAUUCAAAGAUUAUGUUAGGGUAGAGAUGAAAUUUUAUAAUAGUUUCCAAAAUAAUUAUGAAAACUGGACAAAACUUGCUAAACUGUAAGACUGAAUGAUGUUAACAUGACCUCUGUCUUCAUAAAGAGGCUUUUAACUCAGUCAGGUUCUGCAGUCUACCUGAGGAAAAUAUAUUUUUAAAAAAUAAAUCAUGUCUUCUUAGCACUGCCUUUUGAUGCUACAGUGAAUGAGUCUUAAAUCUGGAACUGUAAUUAAGGUACUCACUUCAUUCAAAGAAAAUAAUUCCUUUGGUGUUUUGCACGUUUCCCUUCAACUACAGCAGAUAUCAAAAGUCUGUUAAUUAACAAAGAUCGUUGAAAGGCAAAAUAAAAUGCUCUUUAGUGUUUCUGGUUUGGAAAUAACAAGACAAAGCUAUUUUGAAGUAUUUAACAUUUGAAUGUAAAAGCCAAAUCUUUAUCCAUGAAUCACUGUAAAUGAUCUGAUAAUGUCAAACUGUGUCUAAAUUGAUAGAAAUGACUUAAAAAUUUCAAAAUAAACUUAAAUUUUCAUUUAAA